AUGCAAGUUAAUGGAAGAAGACCUACUCUAUGUGCACAACAGGUAAGCUGUGUUCUUCUGAUCAAAACUCACCUCUCAGGUGAGAAUUCUGAGCCAAAGCCGCGGUGGAGUGUGUGGCAGGGAGGGGCGGAGGCUCCGGCCAGGGCUGGCCGGAAGAGAAGGGGAAAGGAGGGGCCGGCAGCCCCUGGCCUUGGAAGGGCAGAGUCACCACCUUUGUUGCUGUGGGAAUCAACAGGCCCUGCGGGAAUGCGGGCUUGGAGCCAGCCCCCAAGGCUUAGUAGGCCUGAAGACCCCCGGGCUCCACUCCUGAACGACCCUCUCUCCUAAUGAAGAUCCCGCUGCCGGAGAAGCUCCGCGCGGAUGGGCUGUUUAUCUUUGCCACGACGACAGCGGCAGCAGCAGUGGCGGCGGGCGGAGGAAGCAGCAAGCCAUUUUCUGCAAGGGCUCCUGCCAAGGGGGCAGAAUUAAGACAAACACUUUCAUUUUUGGCUGGCAAAGCAUUUUAGCUUCUCAACAGCAAGGGAAGCGACGCCAUCACCCGGAAAGGAAAUAAAUAAAUAAAGGACCCGCCGGUGAGGGGAACUUCUGGGUGAUUUUCCCACUUGUCAGAGCAAAGGGGCGGGGUGGGGCCCGUGAGGAUCGGGGUGGGAGGGAUGGGGAGCUCAUCAUCUUCCAGGCCCCGCAAGCUUUUGUUCUGUUCAGCUGUGCUGAGGAGGCUGCAGCUCAGCUAGCAGCUGGGCAGAAGCGCGCAAGCCAUUUAAGAAGCCUAGCUCGGCCAGGCUGGUGACUGCAGCCGGCGCUGCCCCAGGAGGGUACAGCCGGGCCAGGAAGUGGAACCCCAAGCUCCGAGUGAGCCGGGCUGAGCCAGCCCUGCCCCUCAUGGUAAUACCUGCGUAGGUGGGAUGCUGUUUUCCAGAACAGCUGCAGAAGGCGAGCUGAGAGGUUUGCCUGAAGGCUACUUAAAAAAAAAAUUUCCCCUCUCCUCCUGGCCCCAGCGUGUCGGUGGCAGUUAUUUCGGAGAGUCCGUACUUUGGAUCAUGUCCUGGGAAUGUAGAGUUGGAGAAAAAGGGAGUAGGUCAGUAGCACCUCUGCUUCCACCUGCCCAGUGUCACAUAUGCCCCUGGAAUGUGUCCCUCCUGUUGUGAAGAUCAGUGCUUCCUCAGAGCAGGUGCUGUUGGGACUUUGUUAAAGAGCCUGUGGAAAUUUACCUGCAAAAGGGCUUCUGAGCUAUCAAUAAGUCAGAUACUCAGUCAACAGCACUUCACAAAGUCUAGAGGUAUCACAAGGGAGACAGUUGAAAGACCUCCCUAAAACAGGGCCUCCACAGAGCAAGCUGGGCUGCUUUGGAACACAAAUCCAUGGAGGGUGGACUUAGUCUGCCCUUACCCCUGACUACCAGCCCUCUUGGCCAUCUUUUGGAUUUCAAGGAACUUUCCACUUAACAGAGAGAGUCUGGUUGAGACUGAAAAUUUUGCACAGUGCGGUGCACAAAAUGAUGAACAGAGCUGUAUGGGCCAUUCUAGGUUUCCGUUAGAGCUAAGUAGUUUUCAUGCUCACCAGAGGCUGCCUUGCUGUCCACUGCACUGGUAGAUGCACCAGGGUAGGUUUAAUGUCCUUGUUCAGGAUAAGGCCCAAAUUGGAUGAUUCCAGUGGUCCUGCAUCUCUCUCUCUCUGCAUCCCACAGGCCCUGCAAGGAGCUGCUUGUUGAGUUUAAUCUGUGGAGCUGGCACCUUGCCCACUCUCCAAGACAAGCUUGCUUUGUUCAGCAUUCUUUUUUUGCCUGUGUCAUUAUCUUUUGAAUACAGGGAGGUUUAAUGUGCAAUAAAUGUAAAUGGAC
ensembl:lincRNA